rnacentral:rRNA from 1 species
CCUACGGGAGGCAGCAGUGGGGAAUAUUUGGCAAUGGGCGCAAGCCUGACCCAGCAACGCCGCGUGAGGGAGGAAGUCUUUCGGUUUGUAAACUUCUAUUGUCAGGGACGAGUAGAAGGGGGUACCUGAAGAAAAAGCCACGGCUAAAUACGUGCAAGAACCCGCGGUAAUAAGUAGGGGGCAAGGGGUGUCCGGAUUCAGUGGGUGUAAAGGGCGUUUAGCCGGGUUGACAAGUCAGAUGUGAAAUCCUGCGGCUUAACCGCAGAACUGCAUUGGAAACUGUUUAUCUUGAGUACUGGAGAGGCGGACGGAAUUCCGAGUGUAGCGGUGAAAUGCGUAGAUAUUAGGAGGAACACCAGUGGCGAAGGCGGUCUGCUGGACAGCAACUGACGGUGAGGCGCGAAAGCGUGGGGAGCAAACAGGAUUAGAUACCCUUGUAGUC